rnacentral:sRNA from 1 species
GAUUAAGGAGACUGGCCGNACCUCCACCCUCUGUUGUUAUAACUACUUCGUUGCUUUGGCGGGACCGCAAAGGUUCUCCCGAGCGCGCCGGUCUUCGGACAGGCGAGCGCCCGCCAGAGUCUAACCAAACUCUUGUUUUAAACCAGUCGUCUGAGUAUAAAAUUUUAAUUAAAUUAAAACUUUCAACAACGGAUCUCUUGGUUCUCGCAUCGAUGAAGAACGCAGCGAAAUGCGAUAAGUAAUGUGAAUUGCAGAAUUCAGUGAAUCAUCGAAUCUUUGAACGCACAUUGCGCCCCUUGGUAUUCCGAGGGGCAUGCCUGUUCGAGCGUCAUUACACCACUCAAGCACCGCUUGGUAUUGGGCAUCGUCCGCUGUAAAGGCGGGCGUGCCUCGAAGACCUCGGCGGGGUUUCUCCAACUUCGGGCGUAGUAGAGUUAAAUCAAAACGUCUUAUAAGCUUGGUGAGAUCUCAUUGCCGUUAAACCUUUUUAUAUUUCAGGUUGACCUCGGAUCAGGUAGGGAUACCCGCUGAACUUAAGCAUAUCAAUAAGCGGAGGAAA